AUUGAACGCUUGCGGCAGGCCUAACACAUGCAAGUCUGGCGCGUGGCGGACGGGUGAGUAAUUUCUGGGGCUCUGCCUGAUGUCGGGGGAUAACUACUGGAAACGUUAGCUACUACCGCAUACCAUCAGAUGAACCCAUAUGGGAUUAGCUUGUCGGUAAGGUAACGGCUUACCUAGGCGACGAUCCCUAGCUGGUCUGAGAGGAUGAUCAGCCACACUGGGACUGAGACACGGCCCAGACUCCUACGGGAGGCAGCAGUGGGGAAUAGUGCACAAUGGGCGCAAGCCUGAUGCAGCCAUGCCGCGUGUAUGAAGAAGGCCUUCGGGUUGUAAAGUACUUGCAGUCGGGAGGCGUUACCGACAGAAGAAGCACCGGCUAACUCCGUGCCAGCAGCCGCGGUAAUAC
rnacentral:rRNA from 1 species